GAAAUGCGAUAAGUAAUGUGAAUUGCAGAAUUCAGUGAAUCAUCGAAUCUUUGAACGCACCUUGCGCUCCUUGGUAUUCCUCGGAGCAUGCCUGUUUGAGUAUCAUGAAAUCUUCAAAAUAAAUCUUUUGUUCACUCAAAUUGAUUUUAUUUUGGACUUGGAGGCUUGCAGAUUCACGUCUGCUCCUCUUAAAUUUAUUAGCUGGAUCUCGGUGAGCUCGGUUCCACUCGGCGUGAUAAGUAUCACUCGCCGAGGACACUGUAAAAGGUGGCCGGGAUUGCGGAUGAACCGCUUCUAAUAGUCCAUUGACUUGGACAAUAAAUACUUUAUGAUCUGAUCUCAAAUCAGGUAGGACUACCCGCUGAACUUAAGCAUAUCAAUAAGCGGAGGAAAAGAAACU
rnacentral:rRNA from 1 species